GUGCCAGCAGCCGCGGUAAGACAGAGGUGCCGAGCGUUAGGCGGAAUCACUGGGCUUAAAGCGUGUGUAGGCGGACUCGUAAGUGCUUUGUGAAAUCCCACGGCUCACCCGUGGAACUGCUUGGCAUACUGCGAGCCUUGAGCCACUUAGGGGCAACCGGAACAAACGGUGGAGCGGUGAAAUGCGUAGAUAUCGUUUGGAACGCCAAUGGUGAAAACAGGUUGCUGGGAGUGCGCUGACGCUGAGACACGAAAGCCAGGGGAGCGAACGGGAUUAGAAACCCUGGUAGUCC
rnacentral:rRNA from 1 species